UUGAUCAAGUUAAUCUCAGUAGUAUGCUGCUCCACUCUGAGGGCUUUUGUACAUAUGCCAACGAGCUUUAUGGGACUGGAAGUAAUUCACAUGGCCAUAUCUUCAUAAAUAAUUGGUACAUACACCCCAGUGAUGGCUUAACAUGUUAGAGGAGGUCUGGAAAAUACAGUAAAAUGGACCAAAGUUGGCAUGUAAAUGUGGGCCAAAUGGACAGUUAUCUAACGAUUACUGCCCAGGUCUUCCAGUCUAGAUGACCAGACGACAGGUCCGGAACGGAGAUCCCCAACGGAGAACCCCAACCCAGACAUCCCCUGGCAAUUCCUGUGAUGCUUGGCAGCUUCCAGAAAACCUACCAAGGUAGACCAUCAGAGGGGGGACCGCAACAGUGGUCACCAACUGGACAUCUGCUGCCCAGCCUUCGAGCUGCCUGCUUCAUUCGCAUAACCCUUACCCAGGUCAACCACCAGAGGGGGACCACAACGAUGGUCCACAACCAGGACAACCCACAGUCAUUUUUAUGUUGGUUUGCAACUUGCAGAUUAAUGGCAAGAUUGAAUCCAACAAGGUGAGACUGUCAUGACGUUGCCCUGUUGUAUGAGGUUCAUGACCCCCAUAAAUACCUUUCCCCCUUUUCUUUCCACCCUACAGAAUGGACACUUGUAAAGCCCUUCGUUUACAUAGAGUAUGGUAACAUCAAAAGGUUGGGGAAAGGUACAAUAUUUCUGUAAUCCAACCAGUUGAAAGUGUCCAUUGGUACUUAAAGAAUAUGAUGUUAGAUCAGUUGGUGUCUGGGACAUUAUAUCAGAUUCUAAGAUUACAUAAAUUGUAUCUUGGAAAGUCUACACAUUCUAUCAGAUUCACAUGAAAUUGUUGUACAAUUUAAGUGUUUAAAUAUGAAAAU